GAAUCAACAUCAUUAAAAGUGUAACCAUUGGGUGCACCUAAGCCUGUUUGAGAAGCAUGGGCCCAUAGCUGCACACACUGAAGAAGGCAAGUCUAUUAGGUUUCCAGUCUCACUACGAAAGUCAGGAGCAUUGAAGUACACAACCAACUUAACAAAGACCGGAAAAGGAGCUGAAUUCUGAAAGUGCUUUGAGGAAGUUAAUUGACCAUGUUGUUUUCAUUUGCUUGGAAAGGAAUUCCCUUUGAAAGCAAAAUGAGAGAAACAUGGUAAUUAACCAUAACUUCACUACCCUUC